rnacentral:rRNA from 1 species
GAUGAACGCUGGCGGCGUGCCUAAUACAUGCAAGUCGAGCGAACGGACGAGAAGCUUGCUUCUCUGAUGUUAGCGGCGGACGGGUGAGUAACACGUGGAUAACCUACCUAUAAGACUGGGAUAACUUCGGGAAACCGGAGCUAAUACCGGAUAAUAUUUUGAACCGCAGGGUUCAAAAGUGAAAGACGGUCUUGCUGUCACUUAUAGAUGGAUCCGCGCUGCAUUAGCUAGUUGGUAAGGUAACGGCUUACCAAGGCAACGAUGCAUAGCCGACCUGAGAGGGUGAUCGGCCACACUGGAACUGAGACACGGUCCAGACUCCUACGGGAGGCAGCGGUAGGGAAUCUUCCGAAAUGGGCGAAAGCCUGACGGAGCAACGCCGCGUGAGUGAUGAAGGUCUUCGGAUCGUAAAACUCUGUUAUUAGGGAAGAACAUAUGCGUAAGUAACUGUGCACAUCUUGACGGUACCUAAUCAGAAAGCCACGGCUAACUACGUG